rnacentral:tRNA from 1 species
AAGAAAGUGGCAGAGUGGUGAUGUAUUUGGCUUGAAACUAAUCAAUGGGGGUUCGAUUCCCUCCUUUCUGG